rnacentral:rRNA from 1 species
CUGGUAUGACUGGUUUCGCUGAUUCCUCCUUUCUGAAGAACUGUAAUGUCAUUAAUUUGGUGUUGCAGGGAAACAGGACUGUUACUUUGAAAAAAUUAGAGUGUUUAAAGCAGGCUAACGCUUGAAUACAUUAGCAUGGAAUAAUGAAAUAGGACGUUCAAACCUAUUUUGUUGGUUUCUAGGAUUGACGUAAUGAUUAAUAGGGAUAGUUGGGGGCAUUAGUAUUCAAUUGUCAGAGGUGAAAUUCUUGGAUUUAUUGAAGACUAACUACUGCGAAAGCAUUUGCCAAGGAUGUUUUCAUUAAUCAAGAACGGAAGUUAGGGGAUCGAAGACGAUCAGACACCGUCGUAGUCUUAACCAUAAACUAUGCCGACUAGGGAUCGGAUGAUGUUAAUUUUUUAAUGACUCAUUCGGCGCCUUACG